UACGUAGGGCGCGAGCGUUGUCCGGAUUUAUUGGGCGUAAAGAGCUCGUAGGUGGCCUGUCGCGUCGGCUGUGAAAACUCGGGGCUCAACUCCGAGCUUGCAGUCGAUACGGGCAGGCUAGAGUUCGGCAGGGGAGACUGGAAUUCCUGGUGUAGCGGUGAAAUGCGCAGAUAUCAGGAGGAACACCGGUGGCGAAGGCGGGUCUCUGGGCCGAUACUGACACUGAGGAGCGAAAGCGUGGGGGAGCGAACAGG
rnacentral:rRNA from 1 species